AGAGCAUACGGUGGAUGCCUUGGCGAUAUCUGCCGACGAAGGACGUGACAAGCUGCGAAAAGCUGCGGAGAGAUGCAAAUAAUCGGCGACCCGCAGACAUCCGAAUGGAGCAAUCCGGCUGUGAUGAUGCACAGCCAUCCAUGCCCAAGAGCAUGAGAAGGGAACCGGGCGAACUGAAACAUCUAAGUAACCCGAGGAAAAGAAAUCAAACGAGAUACCCCAAGUAGCGGCGAGCGAACAGGGAAGAAGCCCAAACCGGUGAAGGAAACUUUACCGGGGUUGAGGACCAUCAGACCCGCGAAGAACCUUAGCCGAAACUGUUGGGAAACAGUGCCAAAGACAGUGAAAGCCUGGUAGGCGAAAAAGAGAAACGCGGAGAUGGCACCAGAGUACCGCGGGACACGAGAAAUCCCGUGGGAAGCCGGGGGGACCACCCUCCAAGGCAAAACACAGAUAUCGACCGAUAGCGCAUAGUACCAUGAGGGAAAGGUGAAAAGCACCCCGGGAGGGGAAUGAAAGAGAACCUGAAACCGUAUGUUUACAAGCAGUCGGAGACCGCUUAAUAAUAAGGUCGACGGCGUGCCUAUUGAAGAAUGAACCGGCGAGUUACGAAGCCUGGCAAGGUUAAGCAGGAAAUGCGGAGCCGAAGCGAAAGCGAGUCUUAAGAGGGCGCAAGUCAGGAAGCGUAGACCCGAAACCACAGUGAUCUACCCAUGUCCAGGUUGAAACACAGGUAAAAAUGUGUGGAGGACCGAACCUAUAUCCGUUGAAAAGGGUUAGGAUGAGGUGUGGGUAGGGGUGAAAUUCCAAUCGAACGUGGAGAUAGCUGGUUCUCCCCGAAAUAGCUUUAGGGCUAGCCUCAGGGAAAAGAUUGCAGGCGGUAGAGCACUGAUCAGGAGAGGGACCUACCCGGUUACCAAACCCAGUCAAACUCCGAAUGGCUGCAAUCAUACCUGGGAGUCAGACUGCGACUAAUAAGGGCCGUAGUCAAAAGGGAAACAGCCCAGACCAUCAGCUAAGGUCCCCAAUGCCGUGCUAAGUGGCGAAGGAUGUGGCAUUUCAUAAACAACCAGGAUGUUGGCUCAGAAGCAGCCACCAUUUAAAGAGUGCGUAAUAGCUCACUGGUCGAGAGACGCUGCGCCGAAAAUGUCCGGGGCUCAAGCACGGAACCGAAGCUAUGGCAUGAUAGCAAUAUCAUGGGUAGGGGAGCGUUCUUAUAAGGAAGAAGCAUGACCGGAAGGACAUGUGGACAAAUAAGAAGUGAGAAUGCCGGUAUGAGUAUCGAAAAGAAAGGUGAGAAUCCUUUCCACCGAAAGCCCGAGGGUUCCUGAGCAACGAUCGUCGACUCAGGGUAAGUCGGGACCUAAGCCGAGGCGAGAAGCGUAGGCGAUGGACAACAGGUUGAAAUUCCUGUACCGGAUCAAGUCGAUCGAGCGAAGGAGCGACGCAGGAGGGCACAUGAUCGCGCGGCUGGAAGAGCGCGUCCAAGUGCGUAUGUUGCAGCAGAGGAAAACCCCUGCAGCUAAAAGCAGAGACAUGAUGGGGAGUUAAAGGAAACUUUGACGAACUCAUGGAUCCCACACUGCCAAGAAAAACUUCUAGCGAGACAAGAUCCGCCCGUACCGUAAACCGACACAGGUAGGCGGGGAGAGAAUCCUAAGGUGCGCGGGAAAACCCUCGUUAAGGAACUCGGCAAAUUGCAUCCGUAACCUAGGGAGAAGGAUGGCCCCCGGUCAGUGAAGAGCAGAAACGCUCAGAGCUAAAAGGGGCGGCAGAAAAGAGGCCCAAGCAACUGUUUACCAAAAACACAGGUGCCUGCGAAAGCGAAAGCUGAAGUAUAGGUGCUGACGCCUGCCCGGUGCCGGAAGGUUAAGGAGAGAAGUUAGCGAAAGCGAAGCAUCGAACUGAAGCCCCGGUGAACGGCGGCCGUAACUAUAACGGUCCUAAGGUAGCGAAAUUCCUUGUCGGGUAAGUUCCGACCCGCAUGAAAGGCGUAAUGAUUUGGGCACUGUCUCAACGAGGGGCCCGGUGAAAUUGAAAUACCUGUGAAGAUGCAGGUUACCCGCGACUGGACAGAAAGACCCCAUGGAGCUUCACUGCAGCUUGAGAUUGAAUCCCGGUGACAGAUGCACAGGAUAGGUGGGAGGCGCCGAAGCAUUGCCCUAGGGCGGUGCGGAGCCGAUGUUGGGAUACCACCCUUCUGUUGCUGAGAUUCUAACGCGAGGAGUAACGACCCUGCGGACCCUCUCAGGCAGGCGGUUUGACUGGGGCGGUCGCCUCCGAAAGA
rnacentral:rRNA from 1 species